rnacentral:misc_RNA from 1 species
GAAAUGCGAUACGUAAUGCGAAUUGCAGAAUUCAGUGAAUCAUCGAAUCUUUGAACGCAAAUUGCGGUCUUGGGAUAUUCCUGAGACCAUGCCUCGUCGAGUAUCGGUUUUAUCCAAUAUCCACAGCGUGCUGUGGGAUAAUGAGCGUGUCGGUGCCUAACUGACUCGCUUUAAAUUCGAGGACAUGUCUUACGAGUUGAGUUCGCUCGUCCAGUAGACAUUGAUAUUUUGCUUCGGCAAUAGUCAUGUCGUCACACCUGGCAGCUUGAAUUUACGAGUUAGAUAAAAUUCCUAGGAAUCGCUUCUUUGUAGCGUUAAGAUGAGAUCGCAAGAUUUCAUUUUGAUGUCUCGGAGGUACGUAACAAACUAGAUCUCGACUGAGGCAAGAAUACCCCCUGAA